rnacentral:misc_RNA from 1 species
UCAAAGUGAAAUUUGGAUGUGUGCAUUGGUAUGGUAGCUCACUUUUCCAUUGCAUUCUUCCUGGAUUAUUUAAUACUUUUAUUGUGAUUUGAAGGCUUUUGUUUUUAUGGGUUAAAGAAAGAGAGGGAUUGGGGGACUAUUAGGUUAUAGGUGAAUGUUAUUGAGAUAUGACAAUUUGAAAGAUGGAUUAUUUCCUUGGUUUUUCUCUUAAAUUCUUUUUCUCUGAGUUGGUGAUCAUCAUCUUCUUGAUUUCUGGUUUGUAGCUCAUCAGCUAAAACAGCUUGGUUGCCUUACUGUAUUGUGGUUGAUGUAUUAUGUGUGUUUUAGACUUUUAGCUGCAUGACAUCAUGACAUGAACAUUCAUGCGUUGCUGUGAAAUAGUUGAUAAUUAUAUUCAUUUCUUGUCUUCUACUGAAAUAAAG